CACCAGGCGCGAAAACUUUACAAUGCGGGAAACCGUGAUAAGGGGACACCGAGUGCCAGCAUCAUAUGCUGGCUGUCCGGGUGUGUAAAAUACACCCGUUAGCAAGGGCCGGGCAAGACCGGUGCCAGCCGCCGCGGUAACACCGGCGGCCCGAGUGGUGAUCGUGAUUAUUGGGUCUAAAGGGUCCGUAGCCGGUUUGGUCAGUCCUCCGGGAAAUCUGACGGCUCAACCGUUAGGCUUUCGGGGGAUACUGCCAGGCUUGGAACCGGGAGAGGUAAGAGGUACUACAGGGGUAGGAGUGAAAUCUUGUAAUCCCUGUGAGACCACCUGUGGCGAAGGCGUCUUACCAGAACGGGUUCGACGGUGAGGGACGAAAGCUGGGGGCACGAACCGGAUUAGAUACCCGGGUAGUCCCAGCCGUAAACGAUGCUCGCUAGGUGUCAGGCAUGGCGCGACCGUGUCUGGUGCCGCAGGGAAGCCGUGAAGCGAGCCACCUGGGAAGUACGGCCGCAAGGCUGAAACUUAAAGGAAUCGGCGGGGGAGCACAAGGGCGAAUCGCG
rnacentral:rRNA from 1 species